UACGGGGGGAGCAAGCGUUGUUCGGAUUUACUGGGCGUAAAGGGCGCGUAGGCGGCCACCGCAAGUCAAUUGUGAAAUCUCCGGGCUUAACCCGGAAAGGUCAACUGAUACUGCGGGGCUAGAGUGCGGAAGGGGCAACUGGAAUUCUCGGUGUAGCGGUGAAAUGCGUAGAUAUCGAGAGGAACACCUGCGGCGAAGGCGGGUUGCUGGGCCGACACUGACGCUGAUGCGCGAAAGCGUGGGGAGCAAACAGG
rnacentral:rRNA from 1 species